rnacentral:rRNA from 1 species
UACGUAGGUGGCAAGCGUUGUCCGGAAUUAUUGGGCGUAAAGAGCUCGUAGGCGGUUUGUCGCGUCUGCUGUGAAAACCUAAGGCUCAACCCCGGACUUGCAGUGGGUACGGGGCAGACUAGAGUGUGGUAGGGGGAGACUGGAAUUCCUGGUGUAGCGGUGAAAUGCGCAGAUAUCAGGAGGAACACCGAUGGCGAAGGCAGGUCUCUGGGCAUUAAACUGACG